rnacentral:ncRNA from 1 species
UCGAUAGAGGCGCGGGGUUCAUCAGUAACGCCGUCGAGCCCGUCCAGGGGCCGCGACGCGGCGGGAAAGGGAAUGCCGCCGAAGCCCGCAGGUUGGAGCCCUGUCGGGUUGGGGGAUCGCAGAACAUGCGGUUCACUGUCAUGGCCGUUGGCGGCUGUGGAGCGCUAUCU